ensembl:lncRNA H19 H19 imprinted maternally expressed transcript
AGGGAGGGGGUGGGAUGGGUGGGGGGUAACGGGGGAAACUGGGGAAGUGGGGAACCGAGGGGCAACCAGGGGAAGAUGGGGUGCUGGAGGAGAGCUUGUGGGAGCCAAGGAGCACCUUGGACAUCUGGAGUCUGGCAGGAGUGAUGACGGGUGGAGGGGCUAGCUCGAGGCAGGGCUGGUGGGGCCUGAGGCCAGUGAGGAGUGUGGAGUAGGCGCCCAGGCAUCGUGCAGACAGGGCGACAUCAGCUGGGGACGAUGGGCCUGAGCUAGGGCUGGAAAGAAGGGGGAGCCAGGCAUUCAUCCCGGUCACUUUUGGUUACAGGACGUGGCAGCUGGUUGGACGAGGGGAGCUGGUGGGCAGGGUUUGAUCCCAGGGCCUGGGCAACGGAGGUGUAGCUGGCAGCAGCGGGCAGGUGAGGACCCCAUCUGCCGGGCAGGUGAGUCCCUUCCCUCCCCAGGCCUCGCUUCCCCAGCCUUCUGAAAGAAGGAGGUUUAGGGGAUCGAGGGCUGGCGGGGAGAAGCAGACACCCUCCCAGCAGAGGGGCAGGAUGGGGGCAGGAGAGUUAGCAAAGGUGACAUCUUCUCGGGGGGAGCCGAGACUGCGCAAGGCUGGGGGGUUAUGGGCCCGUUCCAGGCAGAAAGAGCAAGAGGGCAGGGAGGGAGCACAGGGGUGGCCAGCGUAGGGUCCAGCACGUGGGGUGGUACCCCAGGCCUGGGUCAGACAGGGACAUGGCAGGGGACACAGGACAGAGGGGUCCCCAGCUGCCACCUCACCCACCGCAAUUCAUUUAGUAGCAGGCACAGGGGCAGCUCCGGCACGGCUUUCUCAGGCCUAUGCCGGAGCCUCGAGGGCUGGAGAGCGGGAAGACAGGCAGUGCUCGGGGAGUUGCAGCAGGACGUCACCAGGAGGGCGAAGCGGCCACGGGAGGGGGGCCCCGGGACAUUGCGCAGCAAGGAGGCUGCAGGGGCUCGGCCUGCGGGCGCCGGUCCCACGAGGCACUGCGGCCCAGGGUCUGGUGCGGAGAGGGCCCACAGUGGACUUGGUGACGCUGUAUGCCCUCACCGCUCAGCCCCUGGGGCUGGCUUGGCAGACAGUACAGCAUCCAGGGGAGUCAAGGGCAUGGGGCGAGACCAGACUAGGCGAGGCGGGCGGGGCGGAGUGAAUGAGCUCUCAGGAGGGAGGAUGGUGCAGGCAGGGGUGAGGAGCGCAGCGGGCGGCGAGCGGGAGGCACUGGCCUCCAGAGCCCGUGGCCAAGGCGGGCCUCGCGGGCGGCGACGGAGCCGGGAUCGGUGCCUCAGCGUUCGGGCUGGAGACGAGGCCAGGUCUCCAGCUGGGGUGGACGUGCCCACCAGCUGCCGAAGGCCAAGACGCCAGGUCCGGUGGACGUGACAAGCAGGACAUGACAUGGUCCGGUGUGACGGCGAGGACAGAGGAGGCGCGUCCGGCCUUCCUGAACACCUUAGGCUGGUGGGGCUGCGGCAAGAAGCGGGUCUGUUUCUUUACUUCCUCCACGGAGUCGGCACACUAUGGCUGCCCUCUGGGCUCCCAGAACCCACAACAUGAAAGCUUGGAAAUGAAUAUGCUGCACUUUACAACCACUGCACUACCUGACUCAGGAAUCGGCUCUGGAAGGUGAAGCUAGAGGAACCAGACCUCAUCAGCCCAACAUCAAAGACACCAUCGGAACAGCAGCGCCCGCAGCACCCACCCCGCACCGGCGACUCCAUCUUCAUGGCCACCCCCUGCGGCGGACGGUUGACCACCAGCCACCACAUCAUCCCAGAGCUGAGCUCCUCCAGCGGGAUGACGCCGUCCCCACCACCUCCCUCUUCUUCUUUUUCAUCCUUCUGUCUCUUUGUUUCUGAGCUUUCCUGUCUUUCCUUUUUUCUGAGAGAUUCAAAGCCUCCACGACUCUGUUUCCCCCGUCCCUUCUGAAUUUAAUUUGCACUAAGUCAUUUGCACUGGUUGGAGUUGUGGAGACGGCCUUGAGUCUCAGUACGAGUGUGCGUGAGUGUGAGCCACCUUGGCAAGUGCCUGUGCAGGGCCCGGCCGCCCUCCAUCUGGGCCGGGUGACUGGGCGCCGGCUGUGUGCCCGAGGCCUCACCCUGCCCUCGCCUAGUCUGGAAGCUCCGACCGACAUCACGGAGCAGCCUUCAAGCAUUCCAUUACGCCCCAUCUCGCUCUGUGCCCCUCCCCACCAGGGCUUCAGCAGGAGCCCUGGACUCAUCAUCAAUAAACACUGUUACAGCAA